rnacentral:lncRNA from 1 species
UGGUAUACAGUAUUACAACAUUCAUGUAAGGCCGCCAACAGUAACGCUUAUAAACAAACCUAGGAUCACCAUCAUACUAUUUGUUAGGGAAUCCCCCAAACAGUAGCAGGGAAGUAUUCACACCAUGGCUUUCCGGCAAGAACUGCUCAGUUUUAGAUACAGACUUCGCAUUCCCUUCUGUCUCCGGGAACGGGAACGACAGAGAAAGGGAAAGCGAGGCAGACACAUCAUCCGCCUCUUCCUUUCCUGUUACCUUAUCCAGGUUCUCACUUUUGUCUGCUGUUCCAACAAAGAAAGGCAGGAUCCCCUUAUUUGGUGGUCUCAUCUCAGCCCCCAAAGCAAGCUCAAGAUUUGGAGAGGCAUCCCCAGCUCUGUCCUCAUCUUUUACCAGAAGCUCUU